rnacentral:rRNA from 1 species
UACCGAGGUGGCAAGCGUUGUUCGGAAUUACUGGGCGUAAAGGGCGCGUAGUCGGCUUGGUCAGUCCCGUGUGAAAUCCCUCGGCUCAACUGAGGAACUGCACGGGAAACUGCCUGGCUUGAGUUCGGGAGAGGGAAGCGGAAUUCCGGGUGUAGCGGUGAAAUGCGUAGAUAUCCGGAGGAACACCGGGGGCGAAGGCGGCUUCCUGGACCGACACUGACGCUGAGGCGCGAAAGCUAGGGGAGCAAACGGG